ncrna:unclassified sequences RT-2 RNA
CGGGGUCACAUGGAGUAACCGAUAGGUGAAAGACGACCCUCGCAAAAGGAGAGAUACUUCCCUGGGUGAAAAUCCCUAAAACUGCCCUUUGACGACCUUACACGGACGCUGCUUGCAUGGCGGGGUACUUGCGCUAUCCUCGUUUCCUGUGUCGGGUCAAAGUAGUUUAGACGCGCACCUACAAGACAACUAUGCGGAGGGCGAAUACUUUUUAUGACAAGC